ACGCUCGACACCUACGGGAGGCAGCAGUCGGGAAUAUUGCGCAAUGGAGGAAACUCUGACGCAGUGACGCCGCGUAUGGGAAGAAGGUUUUCGGAUUGUAAACCAUUUUAGACAGGGAAGAAAAAAGACAGUACCUGUAGAAUAAGCUCCGGCUAACUACGUGCCACAGCCGCGGUAAUCUGAGGCGGGCUGGCAAGGC
rnacentral:rRNA from 1 species